UAGUUCCAACCCCCUGCCCCGUCGAGCGACUCAUACCGGUGCCAGAUCCAGUGUUGUGGUCGAGGAGGGCGCAAGAUUUGGGCUCGGCGGCUCAUUGGUGAGCGCGGCGACGGCCAUGGAUGAGCUCGAGCUCGACGAGGAAGCAGCUGGGAGAGGAACAUGAGGCCAUGUGGGAGGAAGAAGAUGGCCCACUCGUUCUCAAGGUACUCGUUCUUCUCGUCAGUUCCUUGGUCGAUCUGUGCCAGCCUGCGUCUUCAUCCAGGGAUGUACAGCUAAACGAGAGUUGACUAGGCCCGCAUGGCAAAGCAGGUAAGCACAUUCAUGUCUGGUGUGUCAGAUCUGCUAAAUUGAACUCUUGCACUCCAAAAUAGAUUUCCAUAUAUUAUUACUCAUGACUGACAUCAAGUUCAUAAAUUGUUGCUCUGUAGUGAUAAUACUCUUAGAUUAUUCCAGCCUUAUUGAUUUGAAUGCUGAAAUA